rnacentral:lncRNA from 1 species
UCAGCUUUGUUACCAUGUAAGAACAAAAAAAGAAAUAAAGCCACAUCUAAAAUAUAAGUACAAAAUAAAGCCAUUACUCUUUUUAUAAUGUAUGAUUAAAAUAUGCUUAUUUACAUGAGUUUCUUACUUAGAUUAGUAACUGUUGUUCUUGUUGUGUUCAAGCAUCAAUAUACCAAAUCAAUUGAACUAAUAGAGGUGGGUUCGAACAUGGGAAAAGAUUUUUUAUAUGAAUUGGGUAUGUUAGUGUCACAAUUAACUGUACUCUAACUAUCUAAAAUCAAUUAUCAAACUACAAAACACCAAGGCUUAUUACUUCCAUCUUAAUUCAACACUUAAUCCAUUCUACAACUAUCAAUUCAAUAAUACUUCUAUAUUCUUAUCAAUUCAUCUCUUGCUUACUCUCUUUGUAAUUUAUAUAUAUUCAAUUAUUGAUCUUUAGCUUACUUAUUAUAUUUAAUUUCUCAAUUCAUCACAAAGAAUUCAAUAUCUUCACUUAGCACAAUACAAUUUGAUAAUCUCAAUUCUCAAGGUCACAGAUUUUCUCCAAAAUGGUCAAUCCAAAGUCAUAUCCCACAAUAUUCUAAUCACAAUUUCAAUAAUACUUCUCUCAAUCACAAUUCUUCAUAAACAAAUAAUAAAAGUAAAGAAAAUAAAGAGGUAGCACCAAGCUUAUCUCUACUUACGACUCUCUCACUCUGGCCCCGAUCUCUCUUUUCUCAACCUCUUUAUCUUAUCAAAAGAUGGACCAUUGUCUAGCAGAUUCCAAAGGUUAUGACCCUUUGAAUUCUUAACCAUUUGUUCCACUAAUAACCUACUGUUACUAAUUAAACUGCCUAACAAUAAGUCUAAUUCUCAAGGUUAUCAAUAACUAAUUAGUAACUUACCACAAAAUUUAUUUACCUAUUCUACAUACCCCCACUC